rnacentral:rRNA from 1 species
UACGUAGGGGGCAAGCGUUGUCCGGAUUUAUUGGGCGUAAAGAGCGUGUAGGCGGCUAGGUAGGUCCGUUGUGAAAACUCGAGGCUCAACCUCGAGACGCCGAUGGAAACCAUCUAGCUAGAGUCCGGAAGAGGAGAGUGGAAUUCCUGGUGUAGCGGUGAAAUGCGCAGAUAUCAGGAGGAACACCGGUGGCGAAGGCGACAUCCUGGACCGGUAUUGACGCUGAGGCGCGAAAGCCAGGGGAGCAAACGGG